ACAGAGUGAAUUUCAGACCAGCCACAGCUACAUUGAGACCCUGUCUUGGAAAAGAAAGAAAGAAAAAUAACACCAGCUUUAAAAUGGGGCCUGGUGAGAUGGCUCAAAGGGUAAGUAAGGGUGCUUGCCGAGUGUCAACCUGGCGUCCUGGAUCCCACAAUGGAAGAAGAGAACCAAUCCUCUGCCACACAGUGGCAGUUUGUCUCGCUUAACUAAAGGGGCAUGUGCGUUGAAAGUCUAGAAAGGAAGUAAAAGUCUUAGGAGCCAUUCAGAGUGCCCAGUGUGGGGAACAGCUCAUAGCUCUGUCCCCACCCCCCACCCCCAUGGUUCCCUUUCCUGGAGGUGAAGGAGUUUCUCUGUUAUAUUUCCUCUUAAUGAUGCAAAGGAACUUUAAGAGACCCUGUAAUAGCCUGAUGGAAGAGUGUGAAUGGGCUUGUGGGAACUAGAGUGUUGAUACUGGAGUCUGUCUCAGCAGGGCACCCUUGGCACCAGAAAUGGAAGGCAAAUUAAAACUCGUGCCUUUAUCUUUCCCAAACCCUGCAGCCCUUUUAACUUGCUGCUUCUGUGUUGCCCUUCUCU
rnacentral:lncRNA from 1 species